GAGUUAGGUGCCUGUCUGCAGCAACAGGAAGUGGUUAGUCAAGCAGGGCAAUGAUCCGGGGCUGGUGACAUCAGCACACCAGACACACUGGUCUUCAAAUCAUGGCUUCUUAGGUUGUGAUCACUAUGACAAAGAAUGCUUACCGUGGCCAUGAUGUGGCCUUCAAUGACAGCAGUGAUAAAAGUAACGGAGAAGGAAGGGAAGUGGGUGUGAAGACCAGCAGUGUCCUCGGGAGGUUUGCUAUGACCCACACUGGGAAGGACACUGAAAGAGAAACCAAAGAGAAAAGAGAAGCCAAGCAGCAAUCAAUGCUGGCGCCAUCCUCCUCACUGUCUUCUGUGCCGUGUUUCUGGUUGUGCAGAAAAAGUGGAGAUAAUUCUUCUACUGAAAAAAAAAUUUAUCAUCAAAAAGCAGACUGUCACAGCUCAGGAAUGUAAAGCUGUAAGGAAGAGGUUUGGGGGUGCUCCUUAGAGACUACCUUGGUUCAUUAGAUGUUGUUCCUGAAGGGUCUUCUCCUCCCAUACCCAGCCCCACUUCUGAACCCUUUCCUACUGGCAGGAGGGUCUAGAAAGAGUCUUCUACCCCUUGGCCGUGGAACCUGAAACAGAGACACUUGAGAACAGGCAAAGUCACUGUCCAGAGAUGCCUGAGACUCUGCCUGCCCUGGGGAAGACCUCAGGGCAGCAUGCAGCUCACACUCAUGUCAUUGUGGAUACCUGUGGCCUCCUCAUCCUUAUGGAGAUCAGCCCUGAGUUGCUGCCUGGCUUCCAUCCACUAGCCCUGCAUUGCUAAUGUCUACCCAUAACCUCCCUGCUGAAAUUCCUACCUCUCCAGGUCAAACACCUUUGGGAAGGUCAGCUUCUUGUCUUUGGGGCACAUUAUGGCUCCUCCAGAAUCAAACGGGCCUUGCAGUUAGAAGACAUCCUCUAGCUCUAAUGUUCCUCUCUAUUCUUACCAUCAAACUGAGGAGGAAGGAGGAGAGAGCAUGUCACAGCCUUUCAUCAAUCCCACCAGAAGGCUGCAUUCAGGCCGGUUGAGGAAGGCCCCCCUCUGGAGCCGAAGAGGGGAAGGAGAGGAGAGGUGUCUGUAGGAGAGUCGCCAUGGAAGACAAGGAUGGUACAACCCCUCUGCAUCUCCAUCCCCCAAGACGGUAUUCAGCGGAUUCCAACAUUCUCUUCUUGGGGUAGCUGGAAGAAAGGGCCCUCAUAUCUCCAUUUAUCCCACUCCUUUCCUCUUUGUCUUUGUUUGAGAAGAGUUGGUGCGCUAUGGAUGAAAGAGUGAGUUUUAGAGCCAGGCACACAGACCUUGGUCCAAUCACACCUUUGCUGCAGAGAUGUCCUAGAACUUUCUGAGACUGUUUUUUAAUCUGUAAAAUCAGAAUAGCAAAAGACUGGGAUGAUGGUCUUGAUGAUGAAACAAAAUGACAUUUUCAAUUUAAUUUAGGGCAAAAUCACAAUGACAUAUUUCUUUUGUUGAGUAAGAGACAGCCAAGCUCCUGGCAUGUGAAUCUCUCCUUUUAGCAAAAACAAUGUAUUUACAUUUUCAGCAUGUAUUUGUGUUUUCCUUUCUCUGAGAAACUAGUGCAACUUUUUGACAGG
ensembl:lincRNA